UCCUUUGUUUUGUGCCAGUCUUGCAUGGAUUGCUGGAUCAUGCAAUUGGGACCAGAUGAGUGAUUGAACUGGCUUUUACUUUUUGCUUGACUGCCAGGUUUAACAGUGGAUACAACAGUCCCAUAACUGUGACAACAUCUGGCCAUCUUGGCAGGGCAAGUCUAGUCUCUCUGCAUUGCUUUAUCCUACCUUCUGGAAGUGCAUAAGACAGGCAAAAGAGCAGUAUCAAACUUGAAUAAAUCAACUAUGGAUGCCCGUUUUUUGAAUAAGUUUUGAAUAUUCUGCUGACAGACUGAUUUCUUCAUCUUAAUGGUGAUUUUCCAGCUUAGUAAAGUUUUCCCUUUGUUUCUGCAUUCCAAAGAGGCUCCAGCUGCACACCUCAUAAGCUGGUGUUAUAAAGAGAAGCUCAAGAAACUUUUAGAAAGUUCACAAGCUGGGAAUAUUUUCACUCAACACAAUAACAGGACCAUUCAUGUGCUUCUGCUGGGAGACAUAUCCUGUACUGCUUUACCUCUC
rnacentral:lncRNA from 1 species